AGGAGAGUUUGAUCCUGGCUCAGGAUGAACGCUGGCGGCGUGCCUAACACAUGCAAGUCGAACGGAGAUAUUUCGCCGAAGCUGAAGGAAGCUUGCUUUUGGAAGAUUCAUUGAAGUAUCUUAGUGGCGGACGGGUGAGUAACGCGUGAGGAACCUGCCUUUCAGAGGGGGAUAACGUUUUGAAAAGAACGCUAAUACCGCAUAACAUAUUCUUAUGGCAUCGUAGGGAUAUCAAAGGAGCAAUCCGCUGAAAGAUGGCCUCGCGUCCGAUUAGCCAGUUGGCGGGGUAACGGCCCACCAAAGCGACGAUCGGUAGCCGGACUGAGAGGUUGAACGGCCACAUUGGGACUGAGACACGGCCCAGACUCCUACGGGAGGCAGCAGUGGGGAAUAUUGCACAAUGGGCGAAAGCCUGAUGCAGCAACGCCGCGUGAGGGAAGAAGGUUUUCGGAUUGUAAACCUCUGUCCCCUGUGACGAAGACAGUGACGGUAGCAGGGGAGGAAGCCACGGCUAACUACGUGCCAGCAGCCGCGGUAAUACGUAGGUGGCAAGCGUUAUCCGGAUUUACUGGGUGUAAAGGGAGCGCAGGCGGGAGAGCAAGUCAGCGGUGAAAUACAUGGGCUUAACCCAUGAACUGCCGUUGAAACUGUUUUUCUUGAGUGAAGUAGAGGCAGGCGGAAUUCCGAGUGUAGCGGUGAAAUGCGUAGAUAUUCGGAGGAACACCAGUGGCGAAGGCGGCCUGCUGGGCUUUUACUGACGCUGAGGCUCGAAAGUGUGGGGAGCAAACAGGAUUAGAUACCCUGGUAGUCCCCU
rnacentral:rRNA from 1 species